rnacentral:rRNA from 1 species
AAGUCGUAACAAGGUUUCCGUAGGUGAACCUGCGGAAGGAUCAUUCACAAACGAGUGUUUUAUGGCACUCUUUAAAAAUCCAUAUCCACCUUGUGUGCAAUGUUUGUUGGGAAAGUCUUUUCUUUCCCUUCAUAAAUAUCAACCUAUAUCUUUAACAACAUUCGUCUGAUAACAUAUUAUGAAUAUACUUAAUUCAAAAUAUAACUUUCAACAACGGAUCUCUUGGCUCUCGCAUCGAUGAAGAACGCAGCGAAAUGCGAUACGUAAUGUGAAUUGCAGAAUUCAGUGAAUCAUCGAAUCUUUGAACGCAUAUUGCGCUCUUUGGUACUCCGAAGAGCAUGCUUGUUUGAGUAUCAGUAAACACCUCAACCUCUUCUUGAUUUUUCAAAAGGAGGGUGGACUUGAGCUAUCCCAACAACCUUUACCGGUCGGCGGGCGGCUUGAAAUGCAGGUGCAGCUGGACUUUUAUCUGAGCUAAAAGCAUAUCUAUUUAGUCCUCGUCAAACAGGAUUAUUACUUUUGCUGCAGCUAACAUAAAGGAUAAUUGUCCUCUUUGCUGACUGAUGCAGGAUUUUACGACACUUUAUGUGUUGUUCAACUCGAUCUCAAAUCAAGUAAGACUACCCGCUGAACUUAAGCAUAUCAAUAAGCGGAGGAAAGGAAACUAACAAGGAUUCCCCUAGUAACGGCGAGUGAAGCGGGAUGAGCUCAAAUUUGAAAUCUGGCCGGUUUACUAGUCCGAGUUGUAAUUUAAAGAAGCGUUUUCGGUGGCAGCCUGGGUAUAAAUCCUUUGGAAUAGGGUAUCAUAGAGGGUGAGAAUCCCGUCUUUGACCUAGUACAUGCUACUAUGUGAUACGUUUUCAAAGAGUCGAGUUGUUUGGGAAUGCAGCUCAAAAUGGGUGGUAAAUUUCAUCUAAAGCUAGAUAUUGGCGAGAGACCGAUAGCGAACAAGUACCGUGAGGGAAAGAUGAAAAGAACUUUGAAAAGAGAGUUAAACAGUGCGUGAAAUUGUUGAAAGGGAAACGUUUGACACCAGUCAUGUUGGGUGGAANAUCAGU